rnacentral:lncRNA from 10 species
GGGAAGGAAGGGAGCGGAAAGGCCGAGCGCCACCCGCCCCGGGAGUCUCCAGAGCAGCGCGCGGGGCAGACCUCCUCGGGUCCUCCGGCGCUUCGGUCUCCGGAGACGCCCGGCCUCCUGAAGGGUUCGGCUUGUCCUCCUCUGGCGCUCAGCUCCCUCUGGCGGCCGGGCUGGCAGGACCUCAGCGCCCAGCCCUUCCGUCUUGUUACGUCCAGGGUCUCACUCUGUGUCUCAGGCUGGAGUACAGUGGUGCAAUUGUAGAUGGCUGCAGCCCUCGACCUCCUGGGCUCAAGUGAUCCUCCUGCCUUAGCCUCUCGAGUAGCUGGGAGUACAGAUGCACACCACCACACCCAGCCUAGAAUGAAGAAACCUGCAGUUGGGAAGCAUGAAUUUACCACCUAUUAAGCCUACUUCAUGCUUUGAACAGAAGAGUUUUAUCAGUUUUAAAUGUUUCUUCAUUUCUAUACCUUCUUUUAUCUGAGGAGCUUAAGCCAUUUUGUAGAGGCAUUAAGUAUUGCCUCAGUCUUAAUAUGUGAGACAAGGUGUGAGGAAUAUAGAGAUUCAUAAAAUAAUCCCCAUCUUCAAGGAACUCACAGUCAGGAAGAACAGAGCCUGCAACACAAAUAAUUGCAAUAUAGUAGAAGUGCCAAUAGGAGCUCUAUGAAGGGCGUGAAACAGGAAAGGCUACAUAGAGGAGAUGGCAGACACUCUGUGGAUUGUGACCUGUUGGUGGGCCAUGAAAUCAAUUUGGGGGUUUGAGAGCAUCAUUCUUUUAAUAAAACAGAAGAGAAUCAUCUGCAAUAAGGAACCCAUGGAUGAAUACCAUCUGGUCCUGGUGAUUUACUGCACAGAGUCCCUCAAGUUGCUCCAUACCUUUCUCCUGAGAGACUGAAGAAUCUCUGUCAAGGCCGUUCUCUGCUUUGCCAUAAAAUGUGUCCUUGGAACAAGAAUUUCCCCAUUGUCUUCUUCAAUAAAUACUGAUUCAAAGUAUUCAUUUAGCUGUUCC